GCGGGAGUUGUGGCGGACAUGGACAGAUGAAUUCACAUGAUCUUGAGAUUGCAUGGAACCCUAUGUUGUUGACACAUAAGGUGUAUGAUCUCGACCUCACUGAACCCUGUCUUGUAAAUUUAUUAGUUCCUUACAUCUGUCCGUGUAACUUCGAACCCAGUUUAGACAUACUCAGUUUCAUAGGGCAGACGAGUAAGGAAAAUCAACUGAUGUUGUCAAGAAGCAUUGCGGAAAGUCUGUAUCUUGCCUGGAAUCUCUUAUGUCUGUUAUCUCAAUUGCUUGUAUGAUAAAAAUUAUUGCGUGAAGAUUUUGCUUUUGUAGUUUGCCUAGUUUAAUGCUCUAUUCAUUUACUUUGCAGCUCAUAACACUUCUGUUGAAACUACUUGUGAGCGGAUGUUUACGCCAUUAAUGUCGACCAUUAUAUUGGAGGAUUUAAAGUGGGUAAUAUACUAUCAUGUUUAAAUAAAUUCUCAUCUUGUUUGCUUCAAGAACCUGAGUGUUGUUACACAAUAACAUAUUAGCUAAUCUCAAUUUCUUAGGGUGAUACAUGUUGCACUAAUUGACAUUGUUGACAGCAUAACAAAAGAAGCUUGAACUAAUAUUAAGUUUUGCAAUUGAGAAGAGGAGCGUGAGGGAAUAUGAUGUGACAUGUGAGUAUCUUCUCUCUAUGUAACUACAUCAUUGGUAAU
rnacentral:lncRNA from 1 species